GACAGUGAGGUUCAAUGUGUUGAAGGUCAUUCCUGCUGGAUCCUCAAGUCGUGGGAAGAAGGCUUUUGCCGGAAUUUAAAUUAUGUAGGUUUCCGCUUUUGAUACAAAAAAACAGCAUGAAAGAACUUUUGCGAGUUGUAGGCCAUAUUUGAUGGAUGCAAAAAGGUUUUGAUGACUUGGCAGUCUGGAUUUUGAUAUGAAU
rnacentral:misc_RNA from 1 species